GCUGCCCUUUGGGCAGCUCGCAGAAGGACGAAGAAAAGAGAAUAGGGGAGAGAUAGGAGGGACUGUCAGCGAGACAGUCAGAGGAAGGAACGGGGCGCAAAGGGUCAGGAGGAAAUGUGAGGCGCGGACAGAGGAGAAAAGAAAAGCUGCCUUUGCAGCUGAGCAGCGCACGGGAUUGGAGGAGAGGCAGGUCAGAGGUCAGCACGUACUGACA